AUGAUUAGUUUUUCUGGAGAACCCUGCUUGAUACAUAACAUAUAUAUUUUGAGAGACCCACGCCGCCCUGGACCCCAGAUGAAGCUGCCUCAGGCAUUGUCCAAGUGGCUCAGUGAUAAAGAACCCACCUGCCAAUGCAGAGGGCACAGGUUCAACCCCUGGUCUGGGAAGACAUCGCAGAUGCCCACAGAGCAAAUAAGUUCAUGGGCCAUCACUACGGAGCCUGCGCUCUAGAGCCCAGGAACUGAAAUUAUCGAGCCCACGUGGCCUAGAGCUCCGUGCUCCCCAACAAGAGAAGUUAUCGCAAUGAGAAGCCCUCACACACCAAGAAAGAGGAGCCCCCCGCUCGCCGCAACUAGAGAAAAACCCAAGCAGCAAGGAAGACCCAGCACAGUCAAAAAUAAAUAAAUAGUAAAUAAAUAAAAAUUAUUUUUUAAAAAUUUUCUGGUUUCAGAAAUUGAAACUGACAACAUCUGCAAGGCACCAGCUGAACGAAUCACGUGCUCAGAGGAAGGCCGGGCGGGAAGCACCAGAGGCUGAUGAAAAGCGCAGUGUCUCAGCUCCCAGCUCCCCUUCCCCUGCUGAGCGAUGGUUCUGCUCCCCCACGUUCCUCAUUAGCCCUUUCCAUCUGCUGACUCAUUCUCACACCGCUCCAGCCCCGGAAAGCUGAGCGUGUGGAAGGAGGCCUAUUAAUAGCCUUUUCCUGGGACACUCAUCCCGGCUAUUUCUAAGACCGUGUGAAGGCAAGCCCUGAAGCCCUGCCCCUCAUCCUUGCCCCCGACCCCACCAGCCAGCUCCUUGGAGAUGAGCCACGAUAGCGGUAGGCGCCGGUGGAGGGCGGGUGCCCAGCAGGCUCUGGAAGGUCUGUUCUGUCCCCUCUACAUUUGUCGACAUUUCAAAAUGGUGGCCUUUCCGUUUUGGCCAGAGAGCCAGGCGUGGGAGUGAUCCUCUGCAGGGGCUGACAGAGGGCUCCUUGAGGCACCCCACACAUGGAGCAGGUGAGCGAGAGGAUGCAGGAUGAACCCCGGCGGAGGGCAGGGAGCCACGGGGGCAGAAAGCUGCAGUGCCAGCAAGCAGGGCUGGGUUUGCCUCUGGAGGGGCUCUGUGGGCUCCGCUUGGCACACAGGCUGCAGAGCCCAGAGGGCACCCAGCCUGUGCGUGGCAUGCGGGCCGUGGUGCCCAGUGCCCGAGGUGGCCUC
rnacentral:lncRNA from 1 species